UCCAGUAGCAGCUUUACACUCGAAUCUGCAAUAAUACUCUUCAGCUCCAACAUUUUCAAGCCUAGUGUAGUUUUUAAAGGUGUGAACGAUACAUUUCCCUUCAAUACUUUGAACAUCAUAGUGAUCAGACAAGAAGAGCUCUUUGGCUCCAUGGAACUGCCUCCUUCCCCCAAGUGAUUCUUCAGGACGGUAAUACCAUCGACAAUGCACCUUCACAUUGUUCCUUUGCAUCUGCUUCAAUCUUCUCAACACGCGCCACACAUGGAGGCUUACCGCUUACCAGCAUCCAAUGGACGCAUUAACACACAACCGCCCACCGCAACAAUCACAUUUCCAAAUUGAUAAAAAUGUCCCUUCAUAACCGCAAAAAAACGAAAUCGACCCAAGAUCACAGCAGUGGUGACGUAACACAACUUCAUUGAAUCAAACCUCAAGCAACCAAAAGAAAGCUAAGUUUCUGUAUAAAAGAACAGAUUUAUUUUUUCCCGUUCUUUCAAAUUGAAAUGAGUGUUUAUAGAAAUAUAUAAUCGCAGCUCAAUAACCCAAAAAGAAGCAUUCAAAAGAGUGAAUUAGUUUAACAUAGAGCUUGGUAUGGACUAACCUCUAACAGCUCUGGUGGUGCCUCUGAUAAGUGUAUACGAGUCGAUAUCUUCCUUGCCAAGCUUGCACUUCGCAGAAGAGGGGUUUUCGCCAUGAAAUUUAGGGUUUUGUUUGGUUUCUCUUGCUUUUUCGAUUCUGUUACUCUAAAAUUUGUAGAAGUUCGAUGAGAAAAAAGAGCAAAAAACUAUCCGAUGAGAUGAGAGAUGACGAAAUCAGAAGCAAAUGGAGGAGAAACUGGCUCAUCCAUGUCUUCUAUCCGCCGUGUACAUCAUCUCCACCGACUGCGGCGGUUCCGUUCUGGUAUGGUAUGAGUAUGACUGAGCUGAAUCCUUAGCUCGCGAGAAGGUUCACUUCUCUCUCUCCAAAUGGGCUGAUGGAAAUGGCUCAGAAACCUGAUGAUUUUUCUCGAUUCCUUUAUCGUCUUCUGUUGGGGGUAUUUUACUGGCGCUGGGGUUAAUUAAUGCACUGAUUCAUGACUUCUAUGCCAGAGAAGUUACCAACCCAAUUCACCUAUCUGUGGACACUGGUUUUGCAAACGACGCAAAGUUGAUGAUUAUGUCCUCAAGGCAAAAGUUGAGGACAAACUCGCAAAUGACUUGGAAUGAAUGGAGCUUACAUCGAAGCCAGAGGCUGUUGACUUUAAUCAACGAUCGAUGCAUACAAAUAUGUUGAUAGUGUCGUGGUGGUAAGCUUGUGAUUUCCUUCAGUUAAAAUGGACCAAUUGCUUCUGUUGCACUUAUCAAGCAUAACAAGGACACAGUUGAGUCUAGCGGAGAAGCUAAACAUUUCGUUGAACAAGUAUUUGUGUAAGAAUCAGUCUCUUGUUUUUGUUUAAACAAGUAUUCGAUAAGCUCGUGAAUGAUAGUCUCCGAUCAAGACAAUGCAAAACACUUUGGUUAAAAUACUAAUAGUUGUUUGUUUCUUCUGUUGUUUCAGGACCCAUUGCUUCUCAAUUUCUUUUGUCUUUGUUUGAUUUUCUCCGAUUUUGGAUAGGGUUUUUUGGCAGUUUCUGCCUGAUUUUGAUUGAAUUAGUGAUUUUGGUAGAGAUUUAUAAAGAUUUGGUUAAAAGGUUUUGAGGUUAUGAUCAUUGGAUUUGAAUAAAUGUAGAAAAUUUUACCAUAAAUAGCUCACUUUUACUUGCCAAUCCCACUUAAUCUGGGCAAUUGCAACUUCACAAUUUGAAAUCGUCAGAGUCGCCAAGGAAUAAUGCAAAAGGUUGAAACUUUAUAUGUAUACAUGAUGAGAUUUAUGGUUUAGAGAAGAGAUGCAUCAAUCUAAUCUAUUGUACAUAAUGGGACUACUAGGAUCAGUGAUUUUAGAGUUCUCAUUGUGGGUAAAGGUUGAUUUUUUUUUAUAUGGUCUGUUUAGAGAAGAGAUACAAUCUUCGAUUGGUACUGAACUUUUUCUUGUGAUCAAAAAUCAGUAAGUGAUGUUUUUCCUUGCUACCAUUUUGCUUUUACAUUGUUAAUUUCCGGGAUUUGAUUGUUUGAAUGGAUUGAUUUGAUUACAGUUGCAAACAGUGUUGAAACAGCCAUCUUUACUGACCAUUGUGUGUGUGUGUGUCUUAGAGAUGAAAGAGAGACCAAAGACUGAACCCGAGAAGGGAAAUUUGCCACAGCUUGUUAAUUUGAUUCAUACAUUUUCAUCACGAAGGAGGAGGAAUGAGGAUUAUUGCAAGCCAAAUCCAUAUAACCGAUCGAAGGGAAGUGGAGGAACAAUUCAGUUUGAUGUUGCAAUUGGUUCAUGUUAGUGAUUCCAUUGCAUGACCAUCCAGAGAUGACUGUGUUUAGCAAAAUCCUCUAUGGAUCACUUCGUGUUAAAGCUUACUAUUGGGUCGAGCCUCCAUGUAUUAUCUCACAAGACAAGCCCAUUGGAGUACAUAAACAAAACUGCUAUAAGAAAUCCACAAGAACAACCUAUGGCUGCAGCUUUCCAUGAAAACAUUGUUUCCUCUUCUAUAUCUUCUUCUUCUUCUUCUUCUUCUUCUUCUUCUUCAUUUGAUGGCUCCUUCUCCUGCGUAGAGCAUGGUACUUGGAUUUGCACUCCACAGAUUUCGCUGUUGUUGGCGUAAAUGUUUGGAUCAUUCAAUCUGUCUAGCUGAGGACCUUCAGGGAUUUUACCUGUAAGCUUGUUGUUACUCAAAUCUAAAGUAUUCAGCUCGCUUAGCUUGGAUAACGUUUUGGGGAUUCCACCAGUGAGGUUGUUGUGCGAGAGGUCUAAGCUUUCUAGCUUGUCAAGAUCUCCAAACCUUUGUGGGAUUGAUCCAGAGAACUCGUUGUUGGAGAGGUUCAAAACCUUUAGGCUUUUGAGAUUGCCUAAAGAAGCUGGGAUAUCUCCGUGUAGCUUGUUCUUGGAGAGAUCUAUGAGAGUGUAGAGGUAGAAGUUUCUCUGGAAAAGAACUUGUUUUGAUUUCUUCCAGUUCACUACAAGACUAAAUAUAUUUUGUGCUUUGAUGUCUAUUAACCUGUUUACGUCGGUUCUGGAGCUGAAAACGUUACGCCUAACCUUAGAUGAGCUCACAGGAGAUUUUAUCAUGCAUGUAAGAUUCCCAAGAGAUGAAGGGAGAUAUCCAUCAAGAUUGUUCUCAGAGAGAUCCAAGACCUGAAGCCUUGUGAGAUUUGAUAUUUCUUCUGGGAUUGAACCUUUGAGGGAAUUGUUUCUCAGGCUGAGAACCUCUAGAAAAGAAGGUAACUGAGAGGUUAAACUCGCAAACUGUCCAGAGAUUUUGUUGUCAUGGAGAUCAAGACGGAUCAGAUUUGAGAGAUUUCUGAAGUUCUGAGGAAAUUGGCCACUGAAAUUGUUGUCACUCAUUAAGAGCAUACUGAUGGACUCCCCAAAGUAAGCUGGAACAUCCCCGGAGAACUCAUUGGAAGAUAUAUCAAGCCACACAAGGGGUGACAAGGGACCGAACCUCGGGAAUUCACCUGAUAAUCUAUUCUUUGACAAGUCUAACAACGUCAGAGCGGAGCAUUUUGUAAUAGACUCUGGUACUGAUCCUGAGAAGUUGUUUUCAGACAGCAUGAGUACCAUGAUAUAUGAUGAUACGGCAGUCGUAUCAGGGAUCUGACCAGAGAAGUCGUUCCUUGAUAGUACAAGACUGAUUGAGCUCCUAGACUGAAAAAGAUUUGGAGGCAGAGCGCCUGAGAGUUUGUUGUCUGACAAAAU